rnacentral:rRNA from 1 species
CACGUAGUUAGCCGGUGCUUCUUUACCCAUUACCGUCACUCACGCUUCGUCACAGGCGAAAGCGGUUUACAACCCGGAGGCCGUCAUCCCGCACGCGGCGUUGCUGCAUCAGGCUUCCGCCCAUUGUGCAAUAUUCCCCACUGCUGCCUCCCGUAGGAGUCUGGGCCGUAUCUCAGUCCCAAUGUGGCCGGUCACCCUCUCAGGCCGGCUACCCGUCAAAGCCUUGGUAAGCCACUACCCCACCAACAAGCUGAUAAGCCGCGAGUCCAUCCCCAACCGCCGAAACUUUCCAACCCCCACCAUGCAGCAGGAGCUCCUAUCCGGUAUUAGCCCCAGUUUCCUGAAGUUAUCCCAAAGUCAAGGGCAGGUUACUCACGUGUUACUCACCCGUUCGCCACUCGAGCACCCCACAAAAGCAGGGCCUUUCCGUUCGACUUGCAUGUGUUAAGCACGCCGCCAGCGUUCGUCCUGAGCCAGGAUCAAACUCU